AUUCCACAGCAAAAAAGAUUUUUUUCACAUUUCUGACUGAACUAUCAUUUCAGUGUCAGAAAUAUGCAGCUCUGAAGGUUGAUUAAGGAGGAGGAGGAUACCUAAUGGAUUUCUACAUCUGAGUGCUUGCAACUUCUUCUUCAGAAGAAGAAAGUCAACAAAUCUAGCUGCAGAAUGGAUGCAAGUGAAUGAAUGAAUGGGAACUAGGAAGUGCAAGCAACCUAACAAGCAAUAUGAGUAUGGAUCAUGGAUGCAUGAUAACGGGUCCCACACUGCUUUCACUCUGAAACUAUCUAUGCAAAUGAUCAGGAUGGAUUGUAUGAUGAUUUAUCUACGUUGCCACAAAUCUGCUAAUGAAUAGACAUCUGCAUUGUUGCACAAAAGUAUGCAGUCUAUUCUAGUUAUGUAGGAAGAAUCUGAAGACAUUUCCAGGCAUGGUACCGGAGCAACUCCAAGACUAUUCUAAUCCUAGCACAGAAUUAUCAGGAAUUACUCAAGCUUGUCAGCAAAAAUGAAAGGUGAAGAAAGAACUCCUACUUUUAAAAUGAGAAAUUUGCAAGAAUGCUCUGUAGUUUUUUUCAUACAAGAAUAAAGAUUAGAAUUCA